GCCUGCUCAGUUGGUUAGGGCAUGGUGCUGAUAGUGCCAAGGUUGCAGGUUCGAUCCUUGUAUGGGACA